rnacentral:rRNA from 1 species
AUACCAGCCCCGCGAGUGGUCGGGACGGUUAUUGGGCCUAAAGCGCCCGUAGCCGGCCCGGUAAGUUCCCGCCGAAAUCCCCGGGCUCAACCCGGGGGCCUGCGGGAAUACUGCCGGGCUAGGGGGCGGGAGAGGCCGGGGGUACUCCCGGGGUAGGGGCGAAAUCCUAUAAUCCCGGGAGGACCACCAGUGGCGAAGGCGCCCGGCUGGAACGCGCCCGACGGUGAGGGGCGAAAGCCGGGGGAGCGAACCGGAUUAGAAACCCUUGUAGUCC